rnacentral:rRNA from 1 species
UACAGAGGGUGCAAGCGUUAAUCGGAAUUACUGGGCGUAAAGCGUGCGUAGACGGUCAUGUAAGUCGGGUGUGAAAGCCCCGGGCUCAACCUGGGAAUUGCAUUCGAGACUGCAUGGCUAGGAUGCGGAAGAGGGAAGCGGAAUUUCCGGUGUAGCGGUGAAAUGCGCAGAUAUCAGGAGGAACACCGGUGGCGAAGGCGGAUCUCUGGGCCUGUCCUGACGCUCAGGCGCGAAAGCUAGGGGAGCAAACAGG